UGCAUGCUUUUUUCCGGGUGGUUGCUAAUUCUGUUGGUUUUUAGGUUUGUGGUGUUCUAAAUAGAAGCGAAUCGAAUAAAGUUGUCAUAAUAGAUUAUGUGCCAGCUGGAGUAUACAUUACAGGUUAUCUUACAAAGUUGCAAGUGGGAUAUUUGCAUGUGGAAAGUUCACAGAUCGGCCAUAUUACCACCCACUUUGUAUCACUCCGGGUGCCAACCACUGACAUAUUGCACCGAGGGUUGUCCCUCCUCCUGAUUUAUCGCACGCUCCAAGAGGGUGUUCGGCGUAAGGAGCCUACCAUGAAAAAUCGCUCAGCUCUUAUGGUUUACAUCUAUCAGUUCAACUAGAAGCAACCCCGGCGGAACACAUCCUAGAGCAAGCUGACUGGGGUUGAUUCAUGACCUGUCGCCGCGCGCUGUAAUGGAGCUCCUUUCUCCUUCUCCCCCUCGACCAGCCCUGGAUGGACGAAAUCCCGAAAGUUCUACUAAAAUUCGAAUGACGUUGUGAAAUAUGGAUCAGAUUCAUACCAUUUUCGCGGCGGUAACGCAACCGAAAAACGGACCCAUCGGCCGGACUGCGACACCUGACCUACCAUAACACCUUGGUCGACAAAGACAAGCAAAUGUUUUUGGUGCGGACCGUAGCGAGUAAAAUACAAAGGGGGUGUAACUGACUGGGCCACGGUAAUACGUCAUCGCUCAUCCGGACUGAGUCCGGCACAAUUCGGGAGAAGUCCGGGGCUCCGGGGCACUGCACUGGUUUGCACUGUUGUCUAUGAGAAGAGAUUUGAAUUUGAAUGAGCGUCUUAGGGGUGAAGAGUUAAAGGGUAAUUAUCAGCGGCGUUAACAACCGUCGCUGCUCCUCUGGAUUGAUAGAUGUUUAGCGGUAGACAAAAAUUAAGUGCUU